GGGUUGUGACCGUGGCGGCAUGUGAGUGGUUAUCGAUGUGAGUUCUUCGUCAGGCUCCCUGCAUUUCUGCGGCCAACUGAUGAGUACCAUAUCUCUUUCAAACCUAUGCAUUAAAUUUUGCUAGGUUUAGUGUUGCCUUCAUGGGAAAUUGAUUGAGCUCGGAAUUGAAUGUUAAAUGAUGUUAUUUGUAGCGUCCCUCCUUUUAUCCAUGUGUAUAUGAGGGGCGUACAAAGUUGGACACUUCUUCGGUAGUUUGAUUUCAUUCGGAAAUCAUUUUUUAUCGUUGAAUGUUCCUAAUAUUUUACGGACGUUGUGCAUGCUUAAGAUUUCGGGGAAGCCUUCCCGUGGAUUAUAUAACUCGGUUUUGUCCGCACUUUGUGAAAGACGCCUACGCGGGUCGUGGCGCUCCUUUUUCAGGAGUGCAAACGUCAUUGUGUA
rnacentral:misc_RNA from 1 species